GUGAGGAAUAUUGGUCAAUGGGCGAGAGCCUGAACCAGCCAAGUCGCGUGAAGGAAGAAGGAUCUAUGGUUCGUAAACUUCUUUUGCAGGGGAAUAAAGUGCGGGACGUGUCCUGUUUUGUAUGUACCCUGAGAAUAAGGAUCGGCUAACUCCGUGCCAGCAGCCGCGGUAAUACGGAGGAUCCGAGCGUUAUCCGGAUUUAUUGGGUUUAAAGGGUGCGCAGGUGGUUUGAUAAGUCAGCGGUGAAAGUUUGCAGCUUAACUGUAAAAAUGCCGUUGAAACUGUCGGACUUGAGUGUAAAUGAGGUAGGCGGAAUGCGUGGUGUAGCGGUGAAAUGCAUAGAUAUCACGCAGAACUCCGAUUGCGAAGGCAGCUUACUAAGCUACAACUGACACUGAAGCACGAAAGCGUGGGGAUCAAACAGGAUUAGAUACCCUAGUAGUCC
rnacentral:rRNA from 1 species